GAUGAACGCUGGCGGCAUGCCUAAUACAUGCAAGUCGAACGAGAGGAAAGGAAAGCUUGCUUUCCUGAAUCUAGUGGCGAACGGGUGAGUAACACGUAGGUAACCUGCCCAUGUGGCCCGGGAUAACUUCUAGGAAACGUAUGACUAAAACCGGAUAGGUAGCAGACAAGCAUUUGACUGCUAUUAAAGUGGCCUUGGCCAUAGAACUAUGGAUGGACCUGCGGUGCAUUAGCUGGUU
rnacentral:rRNA from 1 species